GAGAUAAGAAACCACAGCGUGAGCUUCAGAGCGGUUCAGACACAACCAGAAAGAGAAGGAAGUGAAGAGAAACAGCAAGGAAGAGGAGGUCUCACGUGGAAAAGAGCACAGGACACCUGGGGACAAGGAGACGUCAUCUGGUGCACCUGGGACUCAGAGGGAGAAGAAAGAAGACAGAAGCUAACUGAGGAGAAUGGCCAAGGGCUCCACAAUGGACAGAUGCUAUCCCGCAGUGCCACAGCUGCCAGGCAGGUCUGAGCAAGUCCCCAAGAGCCAGCAGCAGAGAGGGCACUGCUGCCAGGUGGCGGAACCCAUCAGGGGCACUCUCCUCGCCUGGACCACAGGGCCUGACCAGCAGC
rnacentral:lncRNA from 1 species